rnacentral:rRNA from 1 species
GACGAACCGUGCGAACGUUGUUCGGAAUCACUGGGCUUAAAGGGUGCGUAGGUGGUCGUUUAAGUCCGUUGUGAAAUCCCUGGGCUCAACCUGGGAAUGGCAGUGGAUACUGGACGGCUAGAAUGCGGUAGAGGGUAGUGGAAUUCCCGGUGUAGCAGUGAAAUGCGUAGAGAUCGGGAGGAACACCAGUGGCGAAGGCGGCUACCUGGACCAGCAUUGACACUCAAGCACGAAAGCGUGGGGAGCAAACAGG